rnacentral:rRNA from 1 species
GACGAACGCUGGCGGCGUGCUUAACACAUGCAAGUCGAACGGACAGGCCCUGCUUUUGUGGGGUGCUCGUGUGGCGAACGCGUGAGUAAAACGUGUGUAACCUGCCCUUGUCUGUGGGGUAACUUCUGGAAACUGGGGCUAUUACCGGAUAUGAGCUCCUGCUGCACGGUGUGGGUUGGAAAGUUUCGGCGGUUGGGGAUGGACUCGCGGGUUAUCCGCUUGAUUGUGGGGUAGGGGCUUACCAAGGCUUUGACGGGUAGCCGGCCUGAGAGGUGUAACGGCCACAAUGGGACUGAGAGACGGCCCAGACGCCUACGGGAGGCAGCAGGGGGGAAUAUGGCAGAAUGGGCGGAAGCCUGAGGCAGAAACGCCGCGUGCGGGAUGCUGGCCUUCGGGUUGUAAACAGCUUUCUCAGGUGACGAAGCGGGAGUGACGGUAAUGGGUAAAGAAGCACCGGCUAACUACGUG